AUAGCUUUUUUUAUUAUAUAUACUGACAUGUUAAUAAUAUAAUAUUAACUAUACAGGCUAAAUUGAUCUGUUAAGGGGUAGGACCAGAUACGUUUUUUACUUCCUCCUUCCCCCUUUCAAGCAUGUGGCAAGUGUCUGUUUUUUGCUUUUGUUUUAUUUAUUCAUUUUCUAUUUUAACUUUUUUUAUUGCUUACAUGUUCUAAAUAAAGAAAUCAAAUCUAUUCUCUACAGGCAAAAUGGCGAGAAGGAGGGCAACCCCUCAGCAUAUUGCAGAACAACAUGCCAUCAGUGCCACAGACCAGACUGCCAUGUUAGAGGUGAAAUACAUAAACUCCACCAAAGGCAAGGGUGUGUUUGCUCUGUCCCCUUUUGAAAAGGGGGAUUUUGUAGUUGAAUACAGAGGAGAAAUUAUUGACUUUAAGGAAUCAGAGAGAAGGAGGAGGAUUUAUCAUUCCAAAUGCUUGGUGUUCGUGUUUGACUUCAUGUGGCAUGGCAAAAAAUGGUGCAUUGAUGCUGCGUUGGAAGAUGACUCAUUUGGAAGACUGGUCAAUGAUGAUCAUGUCCAUCCUACCAGCAGGAUGAAAAGAAUUUUAGUUGGUGGAAAACCACACCUCUGUCUGUUUGCUGCGAGAGACAUAAACAGAGGAGAGGAAAUAACAUAUGACUAUGGAGAUAGCAGUUGGCCAUGGAGAGAAAAGGGUGGUGGUGGCGAUUCUCAUGACAUAUCCGUGGACAAUGGUAUCUUGCCAUGCAGCUCCAACCCAGUGAUGCAAGAAGAGGUUUCACCCUCCAGCUUGCAGGUAAAGGAUUGUGGAUGGAUGGAUUGUGUUUUAGAUACUUGUCAAUGUGUUUGUGAUAAGGAGCCAUGCAAACAUACACACUUACUAGGUGUAAUGAGGUUCAAGUCCAUGUCAUAGAGUUUUGCCAGUUGUGAGGAUUUUCAUUUGUGAGGAUUCGUGUGCUCAGAUACGGUUCUUGCUUAUACACACUGGCUUUAAAUGGCAUGCUAGAUACUAGAAUACGCACUGACCCAGGAUCAGGAUUUUACUGAGAACCAAUCAGCACAGCCUGUUGUUGAGAGAGGAGGGAGUUACAAAAAUAUCAGACCAACCUGGCGGACAUCUUGAUGAUGGAAACAGAAUAUCAUAUGCUUGUUUUAAAAGCUCCUGAAUAGAAAAAUGGAAUAGCUGUACAAAUGUCCCACAAACUUAGUUGGGACAUAAAUAUUGCUGCAGUUGUUAGUUUAAACCACUUGAAUAUUCUUAGCUAACUGGUCAGACCAAUGGGUUGCAUUUUGUCAUUUGAUAUUGUAGGGAGGCUUGCAUGGCAGAUGAAGGCUACAUGAAGUGGCAUAAUGCAAUGAAUAAAACACACUGUCUCAGGUGCAGCCUUGUGGGGUAUCCGUACCCAGCUGCCACUCAAAGCUGCCUCCCUUCUUCUGUCCUCUCACC